UUCUCACUUAUAGUUAAGUAGUUAUAGAUAGUUUCUUAUUAUUCUUUCCUAAAGGAUGAAGCGGUGGAAGGUGCUUUAAGGGACAUUGGUUUGCUGUAGCCUCGUACACGAAGACACAACUACACAUUUUCCGAAGAAAUUUUCUCCUUGUCUCAAAAAAUCUAUUUUUUUAAUACCGACGAGCAAUAAGUCUUUCGAACAGUCGAUUUUGUUUUCAGAACGUGAUUUGCUUGCCCAGUGCUUAAGAUAAGUAGUUAUUCACACCUUUUUGUUGUAUAAUGUUAAACUACGUCAUUGUGUACUCAGCGUAUACACAACACUUCAUUAAUGAAACUUCCAUUUUAUAUUCGCACCAAUAUACCUACAGCGCACGAUGUGAUUGUCCAUUUGUGUCUCCAGAACUAAUUAACUUGCCAUGUACUAAUAUUUUUGGUAGUUAUUAUUUACUAUUAACACUUCUGAUGGGUACUUGUAGUUGUAAUACAGUAUUUAAUAUACGAAGAUAAGUAGAUUUGUUUGUGCACUUAAUAACAUCCCAUAACGUUUUCUGCGCCGACUUGAACCUUGCCAGCUUUGUUAUCUCGGUGGCGACGCUUGUAAGGACAUUUAAAUUGUAUAAUUAAGCUUGAAUGAGUCAAAACAAUCAAUAUGAAAGUGGAUAAAUGGAGUGAAAAGUGCACGGAAUCACAAAUUUUUAGGAAGAAACCCCGCAAGGGUUUUUCGACGACCACGGACUCGGAUAAAUACAAUCAACAUAGACGGCGGAUCUUCUUUAUAUCUAUAUACACGUCUAUUUACAAUAAUUAUAGGAUAUUAAACUGAUUAUUUUUAUUUUUGUACUUUUGCUUUUUGUUAAAACGGCUUCUAGGUAAGUGCGUCUUUUCCGUUGUUUUUCAGACGUUUGUGCUCGAUAUCACAAGACUUGUGGCUUUGUACCGUGUUCAAAUGGAUCAGUUUGAUUAACGGUACGAGCAUUUUGUGCAAUACCAAAAAUCAAGCAUGUAUUAAAAGUAGUUCCGUAGUCUCUAAUUAGUAGCCUAAAUGACACUUGUUAGCUUGUUAAGUAUUUAAACAUUCCAGUACUUAAAGCGAUCAUUUGCACUGCAGUACGUUGAUUACUAAAGUUUGUAUUAAAGUAAUUAUUUUUUGA